rnacentral:rRNA from 1 species
AACGAACGCUGGCGGCAUGCCUAACACAUGCAAGUCGAACGAGACCUUCGGGUCUAGUGGCGCACGGGUGCGUAACGCGUGGGAACCUGCCCUUAGGUUCGGAAUAACUCCCCGAAAGGGGUGCUAAUACCGGAUAAUGUCUUCGGACCAAAGAUUUAUCGCCUUUGGAUGGGCCCGCGUUGGAUUAGCUAAUUGGUAGGGUAAAAGCCUACCAAGGCGACGAUCCAUAGCUGGUCUGAGGGGAUGAUCAGCCACACUGGGACUGAGACACGGCCCAGACUCCUACGGGAGGCAGCAGUGGGGAAUAUUGGACAAUGGGCGAAAGCCUGAUCCAGCAAUGCCGCGUGAGUGAUGAAGGCCUUAGGGUUGUAAAGCUCUUUUACCCGGGAUGAUAAUGACAGUACCGGGAGAAUAAGCUCCGGCUAACUCCGUG